CUAGCCCUCCUGUCCCAUCCUUCCCGAUCGCCGCCGCCACCCACUCACCAUCUUCCUCGGGAUCUUUCUGAUCCUACCACCCACCCCUCCUCGAUUUCAGCCACCGGCCAGUCGCCUUCGAACCUACCCAACCGUCGCUCUCCUUUGGAUCCCCUCGACUCACCAACCAGUGACAGAAACACCCGCAGGAGAGAGCCAGGGGCUCGAUCCCUUGUUCAUGCCCGAGCUUCUCCAACCUCCGCGUCAUCCCGCUCCUCUGCAUCGCCAGCUACACGGUCCUCCCCUCGCGCAACACCUCCUCGCCGUCCGGCAAAUAACCCCGUAGCCCCUACCCUUCCUCUUUCCCAUUUCCUUCUCCUCCCUCCUGUAAUCACUCUCUUCCUCUGGUCUCUCACCUCUCGAACCCUCUCUCUUCUCUUCUACAGGAGCUUCGGCCGCCGCGCCAUGGAUGACCAUGGUGCUCCACGCCGGCGCCACCGGACCACCCUCUCCGUCAGUGUCGAGCCGCCUCUCGCCAUCGUCUGCUCGCGCCUGAGCCAAGAGUCUCAACGCCCCGCUUGACCUUCAGCCGCAGCCCCAUCUGGCCUCUGCUUCGCCAUGACCGCACCUCUGCUUCGCUCGAGCAGAGGCGAAUGAACCGCGCCGCUCCAGCGACCCCGUGUCCCUGCCGACAAGGUCUGCCGCCUCGGACGCCCUGGCAUGGCGUCUGAACCCCGCCGUCCUCGUCCGUCGCGCUGCCGGCGACCAAGCCGCCUGAGUCACAGUGCUGCCUCCCCUGCUCUAUGUGCGAGCACGGAGGAUGAGGACGACAACACCAAGUCCAAGCCGCAUCGCCCGGUUCCUGCCGUUCUGCACCAUCCCCGCCGCCGUGCGAAGGUCCAGCCACCCUCAUCCUCGCCGUACCUGCAAGCAGCUUCGCUGCGCCCUGCAACUCCGCUCGUGCGAGGCGUUGACCAGACGAGCCGCUCGCCCCGCGCCUCCUUUGGCAUCACGCGCGUUGACCCCUGCGGUCCUCGCUUCGAGCCGGAGGUAGCAGUCAACCGCAUCGCCAGCCGCAGUCCCGCUGCCGUGGCCUCCUGCAUCGCUGGUGUCCUUUGCAUCGUAGCAGUUGCAAAGGAGGACGAGCGCCUCGACCCCCUGCAUCGCUAGCACCGAUGGGCCGUGCCUCCCUGUGCCAACGCUGGCCCAACCGCUGCCUCAACCGGCCUCCUCUGCUUCCAUCUGGGCCAUGGCCCAUGUUGCGCUUCUCCUUGAUAGUUCCGGUUACGUUGCGAUUAUGAGGAUUCGUUCGACUAUGUUGCUUCGUCUACCUCAUGGAUUCAGUCUUCUUCCUAGCGGGAUUUCCGGCCAGAUGACCGUCACCCUGGAUCUCACUACUACCUUUGCUAUGCUAGUUGUCUCGCUCUAUCGCUAUGUCGCACUACCUAUCUAUUGCUUGUUAGCCUCCUACAUUGCCAUGAAACCUCUAACCACCCUCCUAGCAAACUGUUGAUUGGCUAAGAUACGCUUUUGCUCAGCCCCUCUUAUAACAUUGUUAGUUGUAGGGGAAGUUGAAGAUUGCUCCAUGUCGGAACAUGGAUAUUUUUGGAA